AUAAUAAUAGAUUCAAAACGGGUCUUUACUAUAUUAUUAAUAGCACAGUCUAUCAGUUUAUAAGACUAACUGUAAUACUUAAGAACGAAUUUCUUUAAAAAACCCAACCCUUCGCCUAGUAUUGUGAUUCUUAAAAUAAUCGAAUACUACGAUAAUGUUAUCAUAAUCAUUGCUUACACAAAGUAAUCUUUUUGUUGAUAAAUACGAAUUAAAAAUUGUAGCAUAACCUCAUAAACUGUAUUGUAUUAAAUACUAAUUCGCCGAUGUAUUCAAUCACGCAUGAUUAAAAAUUCUUGUUCAUUAUUCAAUAACACUUAACAUAACCUUAGAAAACUGAAUUGAGUAUUAAAUUAACUCGACAUCUGUAUACAAGCUUGCGUUGUUUAACGUUUUUGUAUAUUAAAUGUUUAAUAAUGUUAUAUUAAUUAUUAAUUAUUUUAUUUUUAUAUCGUUACAAUUAAUAAAUUAUAUUUGAAAGUUUAUUGAGAUCAUUUAAGGAAAAAAAUGUCAAAUAAUAGCCACAAGGAAAAUUAUUUAUAUUGGAAAAUUAACGAAACAAAUUAUUUAAGAAGAUAUUUACAUUUUUGGAUUUUCGGCUGUUGAAAGACAAAAUUACUAAGAAUUUAUACCUAAAUGAAUGAAAACCAAUAUUUUUCACUUUUAAGGAAAAUUAAUUUUGCUGUAGUGUGUUUUGUUACUUAAAAAAUGUUAAGAAAAUAUCAUGCAGCUAUUUUGAUAAGUUUAUUAAUAUUUGAUUAAGCAUGCGUGGAUUGGAAUAAACAUAAUUUAAAUUUUACUCUGUAAUAAUAUAUGAAAAUUUGCAGAAAUUAUAAUUAUUAUGACUUGUUAAUUUUAAUACCUGCUGUUGUAAGUAUCUGUACUUUUAAGUAUGCACUUGUAAUUAAGAUACUUUGAUAUCAUAAAAUUAAUAUCCUAAUUAUAUUAAGAAACAAAAAUGAUUUAAUCAUGAUUUUGCUAUUGCCAUGACUAUAUCAUGAAAAAGAGUCACA